ACGGAAGGCAGCAGUGAGGAAUAUUGGUCAAUGGGCGUAAGCCUGAACCAGCCAAGUAGCGUGAGGGAUGACUGCCCUACGGGUUGUAAACCUCUUUUGUUUGGGAAUAAAGUAGACUACGUGUAGUCUUUUGCAUGUACCUUUCGAAUAAGCAUCGGCUAAUUCCGUGCCAGCAGCCGCGGUAAUACGGAAGAUGCGAGCGUUAUCCGGAUUUAUUGGGUUUAAAGGGAGCGUAGGCGGCCUGUUAAGUCUGCGGUCAAAUGUCAGGGCCCAACCUUGGCAUGCCGUGGAUACUGGCGGGCUUGAGUGCACACAAGGAAGGUGGAAUUCGUCGUGUAGCGGUGAAAUGCUUAGAUAUGACGAAGAACUCCGAUUGCGAAGGCAGUCUGCUGGAGUGCGAUUGACGCUGAGGCUCGAAAGCGCGGGUAUCAAACAGGAUUAGAUACCCUGGUA
rnacentral:rRNA from 1 species